CAGUCGCCGCGGUAACACGAAGGGGGCUAGCGUUGCCCGGAAUUAUUGGGCGUAAAGCGCGCGCAGGCGGUUUUUUAAGUCUGGUGUCUAAGUGCGGGGCUCAACCCCGUGACGCACUGGAAACUGGGAGACUUGAGUGCAGAAGAGGAGAGCGGAAUUCCACGUGUAGCGGUGAAAUGCGUAGAGAUGUGGAGGAACACCAGUGGCGAAGGCGGCUCUCUGGACUGUAACUGACGCUGAGGCGCGAAAGCGUGGGGAGCAAACAGGAUUAGAUACCCCCGUAGUCCCUGUCUCUUAUACA
rnacentral:rRNA from 1 species